GCAAACUGCUAUGUACAGCACAUGUGUGGUGUUACACACAUGCACUGUACGUAAUGACACCACACAUGCGCUGUACAUAGCGGUUUGUCGGC